rnacentral:snRNA from 1 species
GGAUGUGAGGGCGAUCUGGCUGCAACAUCUGUCACUCUACCACUUGCCAGGGUUGAUUCAGCUGAUCUGGCCGGCUAAGCGGUGUCCCCUUCCUCCCUCACCUCUACUUGUGCAUCCUCCUGAAGAUGCUCCCUAGUAGGAAAGGAUGACCAUCCCUGAUGGAGGACUGCUUUCUCAUUCAAGGGUACGCAUAACUGUGCUUCCCUGCUAGAACCUCAAAACAAGCUCUCAAAAUAAACUUUUCCUCCUUUAAGCUUGGUUAUUGUGUCCCAGCAAGGAGAAAGUGACUAAGACACCCAUCUCCUCA